rnacentral:rRNA from 1 species
GACGAACGCUGGCGGCGUGCUUAACACAUGCAAGUCGAACGGAAAGGCCCUACUUUUGUGGGGUGCUCGAGUGGCGAACGGGUGAGUAACACGUGAGUAACCUGCCCUUGACUUUGGGAUAACUUCAGGAAACUGGGGCUAAUACCGGAUAGGAGCUCCUGCUGCAUGGUGGGGGUUGGAAAAUUUCGGCGGUUGGGGAUGGACUCGCGGCUUAUCAGCUUGUUGGUGGGGUAGUGGCUUACCAAGGCUUUGACGGGUAGCCGGCCUGAGAGGGUGACCGGCCACAUUGGGACUGAGAUACGGCCCAGACUCCUACGGGAGGCAGCAGUGGGGAAUAUUGCACAAUGGGCGGAAGCCUGAUGCAGCAACGCCGCGUGCGGGAUGACGGCCUUCGGGUUGUAAACCGCUUUCGCCUGUGACGAAGCGUGAGUGACGGUAAUGGGUAAAGAAGCACCGGCUAACUACGUG